UCUCUCAUGCGCACGUUACCCCACACCAUUCAAGAUUCAGAAAUUUAGUCCACUUCUUACCAAAUGCUUCGAGCUAUUCCUCCUCCUCCUCUAUCUUUUUCUUCUUUUCUUCUACACUUUCCCAAUUUCGAGAACCUCCUUCUCCCCCAAUUAUACUUCCCCACGUGGUAGGGGCAAGGGUGGCUCUGUCUUUUCUUCUAUUGGAUAAAGAUCAGUAGGGGGUGUUUAUUUUGUUUCUUGUUGUAGAGGAGUUGGACUAGGGCUCAUUGAACUUGGGUUUGUGGAUUGAGUUGAAACCUGUAUAGCACAAAACUGGAUACAUGGGGGACAAAGAAAAACCAUUCUCUGCAAAACCGCUUACCUAUUUAGAGUGAUACACGAAUCCUUAUCGUACGCCAGCCAAGGGGAAAGUGUGUUAAUAUUAAGUUGUGUUUUAACGGACGCCCUAAAACAGUAUGAAACACAGAAAGUAACAGAGAGAACUGGAGGUCCCGCAGAAGAGUAAUCGUACUUGAGCGGAUUCUUUGUCUAAAGAGGUACAGACUUUCUCUUCUCCUGACCACCAAAUUAUUCAACUUUUUUUUUUACUACACUCGUAUUGUAUAGACACGUAACUCUCUAUGUUUCAGGGGUGUGGGGGUUUUAAGCUUGUUAAAGAGUGAAUGAGUUAUUAUAUCUUUGAUUUUUUUGGGGGGUCUAGGGAAAGGGGUUUAUGUGAAGUGAGGGGUUUGUGGGAUCUGAUUUUUGGAAUUUGGAGGCUAAUGGUUAGGGUUUUCAUGCAAAACAAGGGGAACCCAUAUCUCUAAUGUCUGAUUCAUGCAACAUGGCUAGAUGGGUUUGGCUGAUUUUUGGGUGAGAAAAGGAAAAAAGGGAUAAGGUUUUGGAUUAUAUCUAUUGGAUUUGCGUUUUUUAUUUCAGAGAUCUCUCAAUCUACAGCUGGAAACAAACAAAGAUCAAAGAGGAAAAAGAAUCCGAGAGUUUUUAUCCGACUUCUCAUUGUUUGGUGCUUUUCAUCAUCAUCCCAUUGUUCAACAAAGCAGCAAGGAAGUAAAGCUAAACAAGAACAAAGGCGAUCAUAGAGGACUAAUUUUUCUUCUCUUCUUAUAUUGAUUCUCGAGAACCAAUCAUGGCUAAUCGCUGGUGGGCUGGAAAUAUAGCAAUGAGGGGUGUUGAUCCAAUAACUCCACCUCCGAGUCUUCACUUGAGAAAUCCAGAAGAAGAACAUAGCGGUCUAAGUCGUCUCGGUCCAAGAAGAGAGCAAGAAUUCAUAGACAACAACCCAAAUAGCGCCACAAACACCAGUAACACUAAUGCAAACAACGCCAACACCAAUAGCCCUAACGCCACCACCCACAACCAGCAACAACACCAAGAUGACCAAGAAGACAGCCGUGACAACAACGAAUCUGAAGACCAAAACUUGGGCCUUGAAACCAUCGAACCGGGUUCCGGCUCCUCCUCUCGUCGACCCAGAGGAAGACCACCUGGUUCAAGGAAUAAACCAAAACCUCCCAUUGUUAUUACCAAAGAAAGCCCUAACUCUCUCCGUAGCCACGUUCUUGAAAUCACAAGCGGCACUGACAUCGUUGAGAGCAUCGCGAAUUUCGCUCAGCGCCGCCACCGUGGCGUCUCCAUCUUAAGUGGAAGUGGCAUUGUGACCAAUGUCACACUCAGACAACCAGCAGCACCCGGUGGGGUUAUCACUCUCCAUGGAAGGUUCGAGAUUUUAUCAUUAUCUGGUGCGUUUUUGCCGGCGCCAUCGCCACCGGGAGCUACGGGCUUAACCGUGUAUUUAGCGGGUGGACAAGGUCAGGUGGUAGGGGGAACUGUGAUGGGGGCUUUAAUGGCGUCAGGGCCAGUGAUGGUGAUAGCAGCUACGUUUACUAAUGCUACAUAUGAGAGGUUACCUGUUGAAGAUGAAGGGGAACAGGCUGGUGGUGGAGGGUCAAUUGGACAGUCUCAGGGCUUGCAACAGCAAGGGAAUGGAAGUAAUAGUGGUGGUGGUGGUGGUGGUGGUGGUGGUGGAGGAGGUGGAGGUGGAGGAGGAGGUAGUGGUGGUGGUCAGUCCCAGAUUUUGGGCGGUGAGCAAGGUGGUUCAACAACAAUGCCUAUGCCUAUGUAUAAUCUGCCCCCUAAUUUGCUGCCUAAUGGACAAAUGCCUCAUGAUGUAUUUUGGGCUCCGCCUCCUCGCCCGCCUCCGUUUAACUAAUCAGAAAGAGGCUGAGAGGGUGAUGGAGGAGAGAAUGAUAGAAGGGGCUUUUUUGCUGACUGGUUUUGUGCAAAAUGUACUGAUAGUUCAAUGUAUAAGCAUAGCAAGGAAGGUUAGCUAGGUUUCUUUAUCUUUGUGAAUCCUGAUCAAGUGAUGACUUUAGUUAGGUUUUGCCAUGUUUUGAGUACUCGUUGGUUGUCUUGGUUUCCACUCUCUAAUCAACUUUUCCUUGUGGAAGAAUGUAGCUUUUUAUGAUGUAGGAAUAGCAGCUAUAGUCAUGAAAAAUGGAGUUGGUGCUACUGAAAUUCAUGGCUCUCUUCUGUUAUGCUUAGUGUCUGCAGUUGUGCUAUCUUUUGAAUUGGGAAUUCAAUUCAAAUCGAUUGAUAAUUAAUGACCUUGGCUGAAGAAUAAACAUAUUUUUAUGAAAGAACAAAUUGAAUUAAGACUUGGUAUAUAUGAAAAUAUAAGAAACAAAGCAAUAUCAGUGGAACACAGCAUGGCUUUCGCAAACAAAAUUGAUACAAAUUGCAACCACUGCGUUGACAAAUGUAUCCAUCUGUUGGGUGAGCAGCCAUUAUUUUGCCUUUUCCCACAAGAAAGCUAAAGCUGGUCUUGCUAAAACCUUAUGGAGAUGAUGCUGAAAUUUGAUAUAAGAGUAGUACAAGAAAUGGUUUCUGAUGUUAUUGAAUCUUAGAAGUUAAGGUAAUUGCUGAAGAUUGGGUGGGUUUUUGACUUUCGAGGCCGUGCUUAAUAGUUGAAGAAAAGCAGAAGAAUAAAAACAUGGGU